UUUUUUUUUUUUUUUUUUUUUUUUUUUUCGCUUUGCGUCGAGACAAGCAAUGUAGUCUCUAAA
rnacentral:ribozyme from 1 species